GCACAUGCGAGGGAACCAGGUUGCAAGCUCCUUAUGAGAAUCUAAUGCCUAAGAAUCUGAGGUGGAACAGUUUCACCACAAAACUAUGUCCCACCACCACCCCAUCCAUGGAAAAAUUGUCUUUCAUGAAAUCAGUCCCUGGUGCCAAAAAGGUUGGGGACCAUGGACUUAGAAGACAGAAAACUUACCCCGGAUUCCUCCUAAGCCGUGUCCCAUCUGUGCAGGACCCCACUGAAAAUCGGACUGUUCAACUCACCUGGCAGCCACUUCCAGAGCCCCUGGAACUCUGGCCCAAGGCUCUCUGACUGACACCUUCCCAGAUCUUCUAGGCUUAGCAGCUGAAGACUGACACUGCCCGAUUGCCUCGGAAGCCUGCAGGACCAUCACAGAUGCUCUGGGUAACUCUCACAGUGGAGGCAGGACCUGGACUAGAGUGAGACCACGUAGGUGCCUAUGGCACAGAAUAUAAGUGAGAUCCAUGUACACAGAUCCACUUACUCAGAGAUGUGUCCAAGGAACCUUAUUUGCCUCACCCUAAUCCUGACCCUUCUCUGGAAUCUGUUCUCAGCCUGCGAUUUGUUUUAACAAAUAGAAUGUGUUGGAAGUGACGCUGUGCUAGUUCUGGGUCUAAGUCUUAUGAAUGCCUGGAAGCCACUAUUUUGUGCUCUUGGGAAUCUUCAGUCUUCUAAGAAGUCCAGUCAUACUACUGUUGAGAGCACAUGGAGAUACAGAGUGGACACUUCAUGUGGAAUGGGAGAAGCUCUGAGACUACAGGAGCAGAGGAA
rnacentral:lncRNA from 1 species